rnacentral:rRNA from 1 species
UACGAAGGGGGCUAGCGUUGCUCGGAAUCACUGGGCGUAAAGGGUGCGUAGGCGGGUCUUUAAGUCAGGGGUGAAAUCCUGGAGCUCAACUCCAGAACUGCCUUCGAUACUGGCGAUCUUAGAGUCCGGGAGAGGUGAGUGGAACUCCUAGUGUAGAGGUGAAAUUCGUAGAUAUUAGGAAGAACACCAGUGGCGAAGGCGGCUCACUGGCCCGGUACUGACGCUGAUAUGCGAAAGCGUGGGGAGCAAACAGG